rnacentral:tRNA from 1 species
GCUUGCCUGGCUUAGUCUGUAAAGCGUGUGAUUCUUGACCUCAGAGUUGUGAGUUCAAGCCCCAUGGUGGGCG